CUGGCCUACCUUGACUCUAUAAAGUUGGUCAAGUGACUUCCUCUGUGUACUGCCUGUCCAUAUUCGAACUAUGCACAGUGUCAGCAAUUGAAGCAAGGGCAGUCCUUUGCCUGGUGGCAGAUUUGCCACACAGGAGCAAACUUCACAUGGAGGUUCUUUGAUGUCCAUCAACUUCUUACAAAUAGAGUGGGGGUGCUGCCAGGGGCAGACAUGUUUCACGGUCAUAAAAAGCCUUAUGUUAAUAAAAUAUCUUAAAUGUUAUUGUCUGUAGAUCUCUGAAGUAUUUGAAGACCUUCUAUCAACCUAAAGUACAUCUGAAUAGGCCCAAGGGUAGCGCCCCUUCGGGACCCUGAAUAACUGGGUCCCCGCUGGCGGGGACAAGUGGCGCCCGAACACAGGGACCCCGAAGUACGGCCAACUACCGGACGACGGAGACAGGAGAUCCGCGGAGAGAUUGAGGACUCUUCAGGCUGCAUCGCUUGUGCAUCGUUGGAGAGGGAGGUAAGACCGGUCGAAUAAGUGUCGUCCCAUCGCCAUGGGGAAGGUAUUGUCUAAGGAGGCUUGAUUCAUAGGAGAGAUCAAGCGCUCAUUCAGGGAGAGAGGAAAGAGUUAAGAAAAAGGAUUUAAUCAAUUUCUUUUGUUUUAUUGAUGAAAAGUGUCCCUGGUUAAUUUUAAGUGAAUUUUUUUUUGUCUUUGUGUGAGAAACUUGUCCUUAGUUUAUAAUUGAAGGAGCAGAAAUUAAUUCCUAUAGUUGGAAUAAGGUUGGAAAGUGUUUAAAUGUCUUAUUGUAUGAAAAAGGAUCCUAGGUGGUUCCGAUUCAGGAGGUAGUGUCUGUGUCUUUGUGUCUUUGUGUUUUGUGCCGGCUGAACUCUGGGUCUGUAUUUGCUCUCGAGUUCUGGAGUUCUGGAGUUCUGGUUUUGCAGCUGCUCCCAUCUCAGGCUGAGAGGGAGGAUCGUGUCUCAGGAGAGACGCAAAUGUGAGUGGUAGAUGUGCCAGGGACUCACCGAUUGCGCUGCCCUGGGAGUCGUCCCAGGAGGUAAGAAGGGACCCCAGGGACGCCUGGGAGAUUCCUGUCUGGGUGACGGUGAGGAUUCGGCAAUUCUCAUGGAUUGGAGAAAAGACCCGCCUUUCCAGCUGUCUGUAUUUCCAGAGUGGUCCUUGUCUGUGUGUCUUAGGUCUUUGUUUUGUGUUACUUGUGACUUUGACAAUGGGAAGACUCUGGUUGGGAAGGAGGAGUGAUGUGGAAUCUGCUCCAGUUCAUCUGUCUUUGCUGAGCUCAUGGAAGCUCCCAUCUGAAUCAGCUCAGUUUUGUGGCAAUCUUGUGGCGGCCGCUUGUUUUUGUUUUGUGCGCACUUUUGUUUUUUUGUCUGUUAAUCUUUUGAUUGUCUUUCUAUGUGACUAAAUGCUUUUGCCCUCUUCAGCAGACCUCUAUUUUCUGGACUCUCUUCUUGUUUUCUCACCAUCCCACUUGGGAUGCUUGUUAGUGGCUGUUACAGGAAAUCUAUAAUGCUCACUUGAGUGUGCUCAAGAAACUAGAAUUUCAGGUUUGCCCUGGGUUCCUUUGGGAUAGGUGUGGGGAUAGGCUUGAUUUCUAUUGCAAAUGAUGUCACAUUGCAUAUGUUAGUACUCCUAACACUUCUUGGGUCUGUGCCUCUGGGAUCACAACUUGUAUAAGUUUAGAAGUUCUAAAAGGCAGUCAUGACCUUUGUGUAUAGGUUCAGAUAGUGUCCAGAUUGGAAUCCUGAUGCUAAAGACUUAGUAAGACACAAAAGAGAGUUGAGAAUUACUUAGGGCUAUCUGAAGGCGGAGUCCAGCUAGGUGCUGCAAGGGCAUCUGCUGUUGCCCUGCAACACAAGGCUUAUGGAGAUAAAGCUUCAGUUGUGUUAAUACAGAAUUGUAGGCUAGAGUCUUGAAAGUAUUUAAAAAAAAAAAAAGAAAGAAAGAAACCUGGUAAAACAUAUCUUAUUCCAAACAGCAAUUAAGUUGGUUAUUACAAAAUACUGAUAUUUGGCCUAUCACAUAUACAAAUUUUUCAGGCGAAGUUGAUAAUUUUACUCUUUGCAUGCUUUUGUUAUUUCCUAUAAAUUUGUGCAUGCAACCCAUAGAAAAUGAGCUUACUGUAUUUAUAGGUGGUUCAUCUAAUGAAAAGGCUACAUGUAUGAUUGUUUAUUCUCUUGAGUUUCCCCUGCUUCAGCACAGAUUAUUAAUUAACUGUAGCCAGUUUUUAUGUUAAAAAAAAAAAAAAAACAAGCUUUCAAUUCAUAUACUGAUAGCCAAUGUGCUGCUUGUGGUUUACAAUUGAUUUCAAUUACUUAAUGCUUUAUUAAAGGCAGGUUUUCUACAUAAAAUCACUGAGUGAUGAUUUCAGUGUGAAUGUCUGACAACUCACUGUCCUUUCAAUGCUCUGGCUCAGACAACUAAACAAAACCAUAGACCCAGCUCUUUGAAAAUGAUAAUGGAGUUUAUAACACUCCCUCACAAAUAGAGGAAGACUCCACUUGCUUACUUUCAACUCCCAUCCUCACCUUGCCAGCUCAGGGAUUUCUAGUACGACUGAAUCUGGAUGCUUAUGUUUAGGUAAAUAAAGCUGGUGAGGGGCUGGAGUGAUGGCUUAGUGGUUAAGAGCACUAAGUACUGUUCCUUUAUAGGCCAUUUAAGAACUCAAACUGGAUUGCCUGGACCCCUUAGCAAGGGAGGACAAUAAUACCAGGCAGAUUAUAGGCCUUACAUAGGAACAAUUAGUCAAAAAAAAUCUCAUUCUUUAUAUCACCAAAACAAUAAUUUGGUAUAAAAGUCAAUUUAUAAAUACAAGUGCUCAGUGUCCUCAAUUUAAUCCUCAAGGACUUAUCUUAAUAAAUAAUAUUUUAACAAUAUUUUAAUAAAUAAAAAAGGGGAGUUAUCCCUGUAUGCUAAAAUAUGCUCCUUUUAUUUCAAUUUUAAAAUUUGAAUGCCAAGGAAUACUCUGAGUUUAUGGCAUACUACAACUAGGCAUACUUCUGCCUAGGUGAAAUAGAAAGAUCCACAUAUUGGCAUGAUCCUGUUCAGAUAUUUUAUAUGGGAAAGAGGGAAUCUUUGUGUUUUUUCUACAGGAUGCUACAGGAGUGUGCCAGCUGCCUGAUGGCUGGUGAGACUUGCUGAUCCUGGGAGCAUGAAGAUUCAGCUCUCCUGGUUCGGGUCCCUGGAGUCAUUCCUGUGUCCUUGGAGGAAUAUGGAGGAUUCCCACUCAUCUUUUGUCAUCACAGAAAUUCUGGCGUUGCUGCAGUCAUUGUGUCCCGUCCCACCACGGCCUGCGCUCCGACCCUCUGUGCACUGUUGCUUGGUGGAAGCUGCUGUGGACUGGGGAACUCUGCCCUGGUUUUGCAGAUCUCAGACAUGGUUCCAUUGCCUGCUGGUUGUUCCAGAGAAGAAUGACCGAUCCUGAACUGUCCUGGGAAAGACCUUGGCAUUUUCGCUGCUAUUGUAGCAGCCAUUACUGCUGCAGCCAUUGUGUCUGCAGUGUCUGGAGUUACUCUCCCCCAAUCUAUUGUUAGGCAAGCACAGUGGGUGAACUUUCUGGAGUAGUUGCUAACAAAUUGGGAAUUCUAAAUUUUAUUACAGGAGAGGCUUGACUAGGUCCUUGGUGGUAUGGCCAUAGCAGCUGAGGAGAACCAGAUGAGGUGCCCAUUACUUAUUGGGAGAGGCUCAAUUUCCACAAUUUCUUAUAUUAAUGCCAUCUGGCUCCUAUUCUUUCGCCCCUGGGCUCAAGUAAAAGGAAUGAGAAGAUGAUCCAAUGUAGCUAUCCUCACGGACGGGCAACUUCCUCUGACCCUUGACCAAUCUAAGACAUGGUGCCUUGGGGGCGACAAGGUGAUCCUAUGACAGAUAAGGCUGGGGUUUGAGAGGUCGAUCCUAAGACAGAGGUGGCUACACCCCGUUUAAAUGUACGGGCCGGUCAAAUGCUCCUCUGCCCAGUUUCUCCCCCAAUAAACACACACGUAUAGCCCAGAACGGUGUGUUACAGCAUAAGUUCAUUCCUAGCCAUUGGGGUGCAGUCCUAACUGCCAGAGUGGCUCACCAUGGCCGAGCUGGGCACUCUGUGAGGCAUGUCUGAUCUCUCUCAGACCACUACUUCCACCUAAUGGUUUUUUAUAAAAGAAAAAUGGGGGAGACCAAUGGUCUUUCUGAUAUCUAAAAAAGCUGAUCCUAAUGCAAAGGGUCUAGAGUAGACAAAUAAUCUAGGUAAAAAAAUGAAUAAUUACAUGACAAUAGUCACAUGACUCAAAUGUAGAUUUAAAAACAUACAAGUCUUCAGCAUACUACCCUGAAUGUGCUUGAUUUUUGUCUGAUCUGGGAAGAUAAGGAUAGACACAUGAAAGAAAGGGGAACAGAGUAAGUACAUAGAAAUAAAUUCACACAUCUAUGACUAGUAGAUUUAAAAAAUUCAAUGGAGAAAGAAGUCUUUCAAAUACAUUAUCCUGGAGUAUCUUGGGUUACUUAUAUGAAGGAAAAGAGUGAACUCAGAACCCAUUUCUAAUAUGUAUUGUAAGAACUAAAUUUUCAUUUUUAGAUAUAUAAAUUAUUUUUUGUAAAC